CCUACGGGAGGCAGCAGUAGGGAAUCUUGCGCAAUGGGCGAAAGCCUGACGCAGCCAUGCCGCGUGAAUGAUGAAGGUCUUAGGAUUGUAAAAUUCUUUCACCGGGGACGAUAAUGACGGUACCCGGAGAAGAAGCCCCGGCUAACUUCGUGCCAGCAGCCGCGGUAAUACGAAGGGGGCUAGCGUUGCUCGGAAUUACUGGGCGUAAAGGGAGCGUAGGCGGAUAGUUUAGUCAGAGGUGAAAGCCCAGGGCUCAACCUUGGAACUGCCUUUGAUACUGGCUAUCUUGAGUAUGGGAGAGGUGAGUGGAACUCCGAGUGUAGAGGUGAAAUUCGUAGAUAUUCGGAAGAACACCAGUGGCGAAGGCGACUCACUGGCCCAUUACUGACGCUGAGGCUCGAAAGCGUGGGGAGCAAACAGGAUUAGAUACCCUGGUAGUCCACGCCGUAAACGAUGAGUGCUAGUUGUCGGCAUGCAUGCAUGUCGGUGACGCAGCUAACGCAUUAAGCACUCCGCCCGGGGAGUACGGUCGCAAGAUUAAAACUUAAAUGAAUUGACGG
rnacentral:rRNA from 1 species